GGUAAUCGGUGUAACUGUCAAUCUGGUUUUAUAUAAAGAAGAGAUUCUUGGAAAUAGUGUUUAGUCUGCAGCACACCAUUGCUCUAGCUUCUCACGGUUGGAUCAGUGUCUGAAAAGGGCCAGUUUUACUGCAGCUGAACUUGAUGGUGCAGUAUUUCGUGCAAUGAGGCUGAGGUGUGAAAAUACAAAAAGGAAAACAGAAGUGAAACCAGAGAUUCAGGAAGCAGCUACAAAAGUACUGAGAGCUGAACACAGACGAGGGCUGAUAGUGGAGAAUACAGAUUGUACAGUAUUCUUCCAUUAAUUCAGAAACCUUAAACAAUUCUACAUGAAGCUUGUUGUUGUUGUCUGAUUAAACAACAACUAUGGAGCUUCUUCUGGAUCUGCUGUGUUUGUGUCUUCUGUGUUUGACCGGGAAAAUACUUUGUGAUGAAAACGAACAAAAAUACAUCAUAGUGAAAGAAGGGACAGAUGUUGUGUUACCCUGUUCUCUCAGCACCAAGGAGGACAUUGAGUCAAAAGUGUUUGACUGGAGGAAAGUUGCUCAGAAAGAUGAUGGUCUGAAGGAGGUGUUCAUGUAUGAAAAAGGCUUUCAUUACAACAACGGUCGUCCAGGUCAGAGUGAAGAGUUCAAAGGUCGAGUCUCACAUUUUGAAGAUGAACUGAAACAUGGCAACGCCUCCAUAAUCAUCAGAAAUACGAAGGAGGCUGACAGUGGAGACUACACCUGUCAUUUCCCACGUCUUCAUCAAAUGUUCCACCUUAAGCUUGUUGUUGUUGCUCCAGAGCCAGACAUCAACAUUAUUGAUGCCACAGAUGAUGGAGUGUUGCUGCAGUGUGAGGUUCGAGGUGCUGCUCCCAAACCUAGAGUAGAGUGGCAGGACAGAGAUGGAAACAAACUUCCUGCUGAAGACCCGCAGGUCUCUGAAAGAGGAGACAGAUACCACAUCACCCUCCAGACUACUGUGACCAAGACCAGCUGCUGUCGCUGUGUGGUCACACAGGAGGAAACCAACCGGAGGACUCAUGCUGAGAUUUAUGUGGCUAUUAUUGUCAAAAUGAGCAUCUGGACCAAAAUACUUGGAGCUGUUCUUGGAAUUCUUGCUUUUGUACUUGGAGUUGCAGUAGCAGCUUUUCUUUUACGUAGAAUGUACAUCAAGAACAAGUAAUACAAACCAGGCUGACUGACUAAAAUAACACAAUGUCCUCUUGAUGAUCCCCCUGUGACUCGAUCAGCAUCUGUUCUUCUGUUAAUGUCAAUCAAUCAAUCAAUCAACAAGUGGCAGUGGAGCUAGGUUGUGUUCGAGUCCUAAGACAAAGAAGCAUCAGCCGCUAAAUAAUCAGACACACAACCGCCCACGAGGAAACCUGAGACAAAGAAGAAAUCUGACAAAAGUUUUAGGUCAUACAGAAAUUAAUACGUAUUGCAGAAUUGAUGCAUUGAAUUCAUAAUAAUUGAUUUUAUUUAUGGGCACCUUUCAUGCCAGUCAGGUCACUUAAUGCAGUUAAACAGUAAUUAAAAACAAGAACACAGACAGCUACAUAAAAACAAAGAACAAAGACCCCAUGGUUGCUAAGUCUACGUUUUGGUUUAAAAUGUAAUAUGUGUAAUAU